rnacentral:misc_RNA from 1 species
UUAAGUUCAGCGGGUAGUCCUACCUGAUUUGAGGCCAGAUCAUAAAAUGGGUUUAGUUUACUUGCGUAAAGCUAAGAAUUAGAAGCGGAUCUAAGACUUUCUUUAUCUCGGCCAUCCGUUAAGAUGUCCUCGGCGAAAUACUUAUCACGUCGAGUGGAACCGAUUACAAAAAGGAUCUGCUAAUUCAUUUCAAGCGAGCC